UAUUCCAAAGGACACACUUGAGUCAUCUUCUAUAUGAUUUCAAGAGGUGAACCUUCUAGGAAGUUUUACACUCCAUCUUCAUCCAUUCAUCCCAUUUUGUCCUAAACCUUUUCACACGUUGCUUUCAAAACUUGAGAUAAAUAUUGUGCAAACAUCUUCAUGCUUUUAAAUUAAAAACCUGGACCCCAAGUCCUUGACUUUUUCAAACUCCAUUUCAUAGUACUUCUUUUGAAUCAAUCUUAAUCAUACUUUGACCCUCCUUUUGUGAAUAAUCAU
rnacentral:lncRNA from 1 species